rnacentral:lncRNA from 1 species
UUAUCCUAUAGGAAUAUCGAUCGAUACACCUUUCACUCUUUCGAUCGAGAUAAUCGAUCGACGCACUUCUAUUUAAGCUUUAUGCACAGGUUGAAUGAUGCUCAAUAAGCUUACUAUAUCAGCUCUCGCCUUACUCUUAGCAAGAAUCUUGGUUCAAUUAGAAUUGUUUCAGGAUGAGAAUGAAGCUAUCACUUUUAUCUAAAAAUCCUAGGGCAAGUUCUAGGUAGCUAAUCUAGAAUCAGACUUUAGUGACAAUCCUAAUGAUUAUUAUCACAACUCAUCAAUCUAUAGUUGGGGCUAAUCCCUUAUAACCUAUUUAAACCCUAAAAUCUAAGAAUGGAAAUACUCAGACAUGCCCACGCAAUUCAUAACAGCAAUUAGGUAAGAAAACUUCAUUAGAAUAGUAAAUAGAUAUUAAUGGAGUUCCAAUCACAAAUAUAACUUUGGC